rnacentral:rRNA from 1 species
GACGAACGCUGGCGGCGCGCUUGACACAUGCAAGUCGAACGGAAAGGCCUGCUUUCCCUUGUGGAUUGCGGGUACUCGAGUGGCGAACGGGUGAGUAACACGUGAGUGAUCUGCCCCCAACUUGGGUAUAAGCCUGGGAAACUGGGUCUAAUUCCCGAUAGGACUGCAGGGUGGUGCCUGUGGUGGAACACGAUUUUCUAGUGGUUGGGGAUGAGCUCGCGGCCUAUGAGCUUGUUGGUGGGGUAAUGGCCGACCAAGGCGGCGACGGGCAGCCGGCGUGAGAGGAUGUAGGGGCACAUUGGGAAUGAGCAGCGACCCAGAGACCGAGGGGAGGCAGCGGCUGGGAAUGGUGCAAGAGGUGGGGAAGCCUGAAGAAGCGACGCAGGGCGGAUGAUGACGUGCUUCGGGAUGUAUGCUCCUUUCGGCGUCGAGAAGCCCACCUGGUUGGAAGGGUAGUGACGGUAGUGGUAGAAGAAGCACCGGCUAACUACGUG